UACGUAGGGGGCAAGCGUUGUCCGGAUUCACUGGGCGUAAAGGGUGCGCAGGCGGCCAAGUGUGUUAGGCGUGAAAGCCUGAGGCUUAACCUCAGAAUUGCACCUAAAACUACAUGGCUAGAGCAUUGGAGAGGGUAGCGGAAUUCACGGUGUAGCAGUGAAAUGCGUAGAUAUCGUGAGGAACACCAGAGGCGAAGGCGGGUUGCUGGGCCGACACUGACGCUGAUGCGCGAAAGCCAGGGGAGCGAACGGG
rnacentral:rRNA from 1 species